AGGUGUGGGUAGCGGAGAAAUUCCAAUCGAACUUGGAGAUAGCUGGUUCUCUCCGAAAUAGCUUUAGGGCUAGCCUCGAGGUAAAGAGUCAUGGAGGUAGAGCACUGUUUGGACUAGGGGCCCUUCUCGGGUUACCGAAUUCAGAUAAACUCCGAAUGCCAUGUACUUAUACUCGGGAGUCAGACUGCGAGUGAUAAGAUCCGUAGUCGAAAGGGAAACAGCCCAGACCACCAGUUAAGGUCCCCAAAUAUAUGUUAAGUGGAAAAGGAUGUGGGGUUGCUUAGACAACCAGGAUGUUGGCUUAGAAGCAGCCACCAUUGAAAGAGUGCGUAAUAGCUCACUGGUCGAGUGACCCCGCGCCGAAAAUGUACCGGGGCUAAACAUAUUACCGAAACUGUGGAUGAACCUCUUUAGAGGUUCGUGGUAGGAGAGCGUUCUAAGGGCGGUGAAGUCAGACCGGAAGGACUGGUGGAGCGCUUAGAAGUGAGAAUGCCGGUAUGAGUAGCGAAAGAAGGGUGAGAAUCCCUUCCACCGAAUAUCUAAGGUUUCCUGAGGAAGGCUCGUCCGCUCAGGGUUAGUCGGGACCUAAGCCGAGGCCGAUAGGCGUAGGCGAUGGACAACAGGUAGAGAUUCCUGUACCAGUGCUAAUUGUUUAACCGAUGGGGUGACACAGAAGGAUAGGGAAUCGCACGAAUGGAAAUGUGCGUCCAAGCAGUGAGUGUGAGAAGUAGGCAAAUCCGCUUCUCGCGAAGCAUGAGCUGUGAUGGGGAAGGAAAUUAAGUACGGAAGUUCCUGAUUUCACGCUGUCAAGAAAAGCCUCUAGGAAGAGUAGUACUGCCCGUACCGCAAACCGACACAGGUAGAUGAGGAGAGAAUCCUAAGGUGAGCGAGAGAACUCUCGUUAAGGAACUCGGCAAAAUGACCCCGUAACUUCGGGAGAAGGGGUGCUCUAUUAGGGUGCAAGCCCGAGAGAGCCGCAGUGAAUAGGCCCAGGCGACUGUUUAGCAAAAACACAGGUCUCUGCAAAACCGUAAGGUGACGUAUAGGGGCUGACGCCUGCCCGGUGCUGGAAGGUUAAGAGGAGUGCUUAGCUUCGGCGAAGGUACGAAUUGAAGCCCCAGUAAACGGCGGCCGUAACUAUAACGGUCCUAAGGUAGCGAAAUUCCUUGUCGGGUAAGUUCCGACCCGCACGAAAGGCGCAACGAUCUGGGCACUGUCUCAACGAGAGACUCGGUGAAAUUAUAGUACCUGUGAAGAUGCAGGUUACCCGCGACAGGACGGAAAGACCCCGUGGAGCUUUACUGCAACCUGAUAUGGAAUGUUUGUACCGCUUGUACAGGAUAGGUAGGAGCCGAAGAGACGUGUGCGCUAGCAUACGAGGAGGCAAUGGUGGGAUACUACCCUGGCUGUAUGACCAUUCUAACCCGCCACGCUUAGCGCGUGGGGAGACAGUGUCAGGUGGGCAGUUUGACUGGGGCGGUCGCCUCCUAAAGAGUAACGGAGGCGCCCAAAGGUUCCCUC
rnacentral:rRNA from 1 species